CGGAUCGGAGUCUGCAACCCGACUCCGUGAAGCUGGAUUCGCUAGUAAUCGCGCAUCAGCCAUGGCGCGGUGAAUACGUUCCCGGGCCUUGUACACACCGCCCGUCAAGCCAUGGAAGCCGGGGGUGCCUGAAGUGUGCAGCCGCAAGGAGCGCCCUAAGGUAAAACCGGUGACUGGGGCUAAGUCGUAACAAGGUACC
rnacentral:rRNA from 1 species